CCUACGGGAGGCAGCAGUGAGGACUAUUGGUCAAUGGACGCGAGUCUGAACCAGCCAAGUCGCGUGAAGGAUGACUGCCCUAUGGGUUGUAAACUUCUUUUACAUGGGAAUAAAAUGUUCCACGUGUGGGUUUUUGUAUGUACCAUAUGAAUAAGGAUCGGCUAACUCCGUGCCAGCAGCCGCGGUAAUACGGAGGAUCCGAGCGUUAUCCGGAUUUAUUGGGUUUAAAGGGAGCGUAGGUGGAUUGUUAAGUCAGUUGUGAAAGUUUGCGGCUCAACCGUAAAAUUGCAGUUGAAACUGGCAGUCUUGAGUACAGUAGAGGUGGGCGGAAUUCGUGGUGUAGCGGUGAAAUGCUUAGAUAUCACGAAGAACUCCGAUUGCGAAGGCAGCUCACUGGACUGCAACUGACACUGAGGCUCGAAAGUGUGGGUAUCAAACAGGAUUAGAUACCCUUGUAGUC
rnacentral:rRNA from 1 species